UCCCGCUUCUUAGCUCUUCUUUCUCAUGCUCCUGUUAGCCUGCAAUUGUCCAAAUCAGUAAUGUUGUUUUCUUUUAACGGUCUUUCUUUUGAACCUCUAAAUCUCUCGUGUUGCUAACCUAUCUACACCAGGAAGGAAUAGAAAUUUACCACAGUAUGACACCAAAUGUAUUAGAAAAUCCAUAUGUCGUAAAGUGUUGUAUUAUUACUAUCUUCCACUAUCUGUCCUAUUCACUCCCUCCUUCUGAGGCUUGGCAACGCCCAUGCCUCACACCUUGACAAACCUUCUGGGA